AUACAAAAGAAACAUAAAAAUCCUGUUGUCUCACAGGAGUUUUGAUGGUCAAAGAAAACAAUGUCACAAUCAUUGGGUCCAUCUUUGCCUAAGAGCAACAAAUCCUGCAUCUUCUACAAGUUAAUGGUGCCCUCCAUUCUUCAAGACAAGAAGCUAAGGAUCCCAAAUAAGUUCAUUAAGAGAUUCGGCGAUGAACUCUCUUCGAUUGCUAUGCUCACCGUUCCCGGUGGCCGGCAAUGGCUAGUGGAAUUGUGGAAAG